UCGGCAUACUGCUCAGUAACACGUGGAUAACCUGCCCUGUGCUCCGGGAUAACCUCGGGAAACUGAGAAUAAUACCGGAUAGUCCACCACGCCUGGAACGGUGGGUGGAUCAAAGGUCACGGCACAGGAUGGGUCUGCGGCGUAUCAGGUUGUAGGGGGUGUAAAGGACCCCCUAGCCAUUGACGCGUACGGGUUGUGGGAGCAAUCGCCCGGAGAUGGAUUCUGAGACACGAAUCCAGACCCUACGGGGUGCAGCAGGCGCGAAAACUUCACACUGCAGGAAACUGUGAUGAGGGAACUCCAAGUGCAUGCACAAUGUGUAUGCUUUUCCUAACUUUUAAUCGGUUAGGGAAUAAGGGCUGGGACAGACCGGUGCCAGCCGCCGCGGUAAUACCGGCAGCUCAAGUGGUCGUCGCUUUUAUUGGGCCUAAAACGUCCGUAGCCUGUUUGGUAAAUCUGUGGGUAAAUCAACCAGCUUAACUGGUAGAAUUCUGCAGAGACUGCCAGACUAGGGACCGGGAGAGGUGUGGGGUACUCUCGGGAGUAGGGGUAAAACUCCUGUCAUCCUGGGAGGCACACCAGUGCAAAUGGCCACACUGAACGGAUCGACGGCCGGACGAAGCUAGGG
rnacentral:rRNA from 1 species